rnacentral:lncRNA from 1 species
UCUCCGGGUAGUCGGUUACUUCCUCAUCAGAGAUCACUGCCGCGGCCUCUGUCUCAUCUUGGGAUUCAUACUCGCCAUCCCCCUUAAGGACCAUCACUCGUUUGUUUAGACAAUCCCGAGCGUAGUGGCCCUUGCCCUGACACUUAUAGCAAAUGAUGUCACGAGUACGCAAUGACUAGGCUUGAGUCUUACCCUGCUCCGGUUUGGAUGCAUUAGACGAUUCAGCCUGGUUUGUCUUGAAUCGGCUCUCAAUCUCAAUCGUCUUGCCCUUGUCGCCUUGCUUUGAGCCCGGUUGAGUCCAGCAGGUUUGCUGCGGUUGGUGCUGGCCGUCUUGUGCUUGAUGUGCUGCUCGGCUUGCGUAGCAAAGUGCAACAGGUCGUUGAAGUCUUCAUACUGUUGCCUCUCCACCUUGCGGGCAAUGCGGUCUUGCAGCCCUUCCAGAAAUUGGGACAUCAUUGUCUCUUCGGGCUCGUCGG